UACAGAGGGUGCGAGCGUUGUCCGAAAUCACUGGGCGUAAAGGGCGCGUAGGCGGCUUGAUAAGCGUGCGGUGAAAGCCCGGGGCUCAACCCCGGGUCGGCCGUGCGAACUGUCGAGCUGGAGCACUGUAGAGGCAGGUGGAAUUCCGGGUGUAGCGGUGGAAUGCGUAGAGAUCCGGAAGAACACCGGUGGCGAAGGCGGCCUGCUGGGCAGUGGCUGACGCUGAGGCGCGACAGCGUGGGGAGCAAACAGG
rnacentral:rRNA from 1 species